rnacentral:lncRNA from 1 species
AGUUGCCUUGACUUUGUUCACGUAGGCUCAGCAGCUUGAGACUGCAGCCCCAGAAUCGGCAGUGUCCUCAGUUGGCACCCAGAGGAGCUGUUGCAUUCUCCCCUUUAUUGUGGAGAUGGCUGCAGCAGGUGCUCUUGUCCUGGGGGAAGACAGCCAUUGAGAUUGGCAGAGGCUUAAGUAUGAAGUCAAAGGCAACACCUGAUAUCAGAAAGGGCCCAGGCAGCAGUGGGGAAGUCCUCAGCUGGAUCUUUGAGCCUUGGACGGAAUCAGCAGCAGGCUCAUAGGUUGAAGGAACUCAUUUCCAGAUGAGACUUUGGACUUUGGAGUUAAUGCUGAAAUGAGUUAAGACUUUGGGGGACUAUUGAGAAGAGAGGACUAUAUUUUGCAAUGUGAAAAGGACAUGACAUUUGAGGGACCAAGGUGGAAUGACGUGCCCCUGCCAAAUCUCAUGUUGAAUUGUAAUCCUCAGUGUUGGAAUUGGGGUCUGGGGGGGGAUGUUUGAGUCAUGGGGGUGGAUCUCUCAUGGUUUGGUGCUGUCUUUGCAUUAUCAAGUGAGUUCUCACAAGAUCUGGUUGUUAGCCUGACCAACAUGGUGAAACCCUAUCUCAACUAAAAAUACAAAAAUUAGCGGGGCAUGGUGGCAUGCGCCUAUAAUCCCAGCUACUCAGGAGGCUGAGGCAGGAGAAUCGCUUGAACCAGGGAGGCAGAGGUUGCAGUGAGCCAAGAUCACGCCAUUGCACUCCAGCUUGGGUGACAGAGCGAAACUCCGUCUCAAAAAAAAAAAAAAAGUGUAUAGCACCUUCCCUUCACUCUCUCUCUUGCUCCCAGUCCUGCCAUAUGAGAUGCCUGUUCCCUCUUUGCCUUCUUCCAUGAUUGUAAGCUUCCUAAGGCCUCCCCAAAAGCAGAUGCCAGCACUAUGCUUCCUGUACAGCCUGAAGAACUGUGAACCAAUUAAACCUCUUUUCUUUAUAAAUU